UACGUAGGGGGCAAGCGUUGUCCGGAUUCAUUGGGCGUAAAGAGCUCGUAGGCGGUUCGGCAAGUCGGGUGUGAAAACUCCAGGCUCAACCUGGAGACGCCACCCGAUACUGCUGUGACUUGAGUCCGGUAGGGGACCACGGAAUUCCUGGUGUAGCGGUGAAAUUCGUAGAUAUCGGGAGGAACACCUGUGGCGAAGGCGGCCGCCUGGACGAUAACUGACGCUGAGACGCGAAAGCGUGGGUAGCAAACAGG
rnacentral:rRNA from 1 species